rnacentral:rRNA from 1 species
UCCGUAGGUGAACCUGCGGAAGGAUCAGUCUUGAAUUCGCACAAGCUGAUGCCGUCGGAUGCGGCACGCUCCCGUGCCGCUCGGCGUGCGUCGGGGAGGUCGGUCGCAGCCAUGCGUGCCGGCGUCUAAUCCCUGAUGUGGGCAUUUUGUCCACGUUAAACGGAGCGAGGGCUCAGCCCCGCCCCGUGCUUCAGACGGUCGUGUCGGGUCUGGAGCGCGUGUCCCUACCGAACAUGCAUAAACACACGGGACGCACAGACGUCGCUCCGGCGACGGGCCACGGCCAUACCAUCCACACAGACUAUACACAUAUCAGAUCAGUUCAUUACAACUGGUAGCGUUGGAUCCCUCGGCAUGGCUAUCGAUGAAGAACGCGGCCAGCUGCGAAAUGUGAUGUGAAUUGCAACUCAAAGCGGUUAUCGUGAAUCAUUGACUAUUUGAACGCAUUGCACCGCCCUUAUGGGAGUGGUACGCCCGAUUGAGAGUCAUAAACGACCUUCAGGCCUCGCCGUCCGACCGUUCGCUCGGUGGCCGGCCGUGUCCGCCGCAGCCCAUCUCCUCGGAGGUGGUGGAGGUGCACGGCUGGGGACGACGGGGUGCUGGUUCCGAGGCCUGCACGGCUUGCGAGCCGCGCGCCUUCAGAUGCAUUAGCGGCUGCCCCGAGAGCAAGUCCGACUCCGUGUAAUGAAACACAUGUCGCGCGGAGGAGUGCCCCUGGUGCACACUUGCGAUCGUCGCGACCGCUCCGAACCUGCCUCCGGGCGAAAGAGCCGCCGCUGUUGCACCCCGUGUGCCCGUGGUGUGUGGCUCAAUCAUGACAUUGGCCUCAGUUGGGUGGGAUUACUCGCUUGAUUUAAGCAUAU